AGAUAGAAACCGACCUGGCUCACACCGGUUUAAACUCAGAUCAUGUAAAAUUUUAAAGGUCGAACAGACCUAACCUACCAGCUACUGCACCAGCAAUAAAUUUUAAUCCAACAUCGAGGUCGCAAUCUUUUCUUUUGAUAAGAACUCUAAGAAAAAUCACGCUGUUAUCCCUAAGGUAAUUUAAUCUUUUAACCUAAAUCCUAGGAUCAUAAACUUACACAUCAGUAUAAUAAUAAAGAAAAGUUAAAUAAAUUUUCCUAUCACCCCAACAAAAUAAAUAAAAUUAAAUCCAAACCAAAAAACCUCAAAUCUAAACAUAUAUUUAUUUAUAAAACUCUAUAGGGUCUUCUCGUCUUCUAUAAAAAUUUAAGCUUUUUAACUUAAAAAUAAAAUUCUAAUCAAUUUUCCUAGAGACAGCUACUUUUUCAUCAAACCCUUCAUACAAGCUUCCAAUUAAAAAACUAAUGAUUAUGCUACCUUUGCACGGUCAAAAUACCGCGGCCAUUUAAUCUCUCUUCAGUGGGCAGGUCAGACUUGAAAUAAUAAUCAACAAGCCAUGUUUUUAAUAAC
rnacentral:rRNA from 1 species